rnacentral:rRNA from 1 species
AUUGAACGCUAGCGGGAUGCCUUACACAUGCCAGUCGAACGGAGUGGCGAACGGGUGAGUAAUGUAUCGGAACGUGCCCAGUAGCGGGGGAUAAAUACGCGAAAGCGUAGCUAAUACCGCAUAUGAUUGGAGCGGCCGAUCGCGGAGUAGCGAGUUGGUGGGGUAAAGGCUCACCAAGGCGACGAGCCGUAGCGGGUUUGAGAGGACGCCCAGGCACACGGGGACUGAGAAACGGCCCAGACUCCUCCGGGAGGCAGCAGUGGGGAAUUUUGGACAAUGGGGGAAACCCUGAUCCAGCCAUCCCGCGUGUGCGAUGAAGGCCGUCGGGUUGUAAAGCACUUUUGGCAGGAAAGCGGUACCUGCAGAAUAAGCACCGGCUAACUACGUGCCAGCAGCCGCGGUAAUUC